CAGGGGUUGGGCAGAUACUAUGGCAACCUGCAGGCGUUAACUUGAGUGAAAGACUUUUUGGCAAAGUGUUAAAAGUACUUCAAGCAGGAAAGUUUACUCAUCGGAUUAGUGUUUUCAGAUACAGUUGGCCCUCUGUUUCCACAGGUUCCGCAUCCUUGCAUUCACCCAACCACAAAUCAAAAGGUCUACAAUAGCUGUAACUGUACUGAACAUGUACAGACUUUUUUUUCCUUGUCAUUAUUCCCUGAACAAUGCAGUAUAAUGACUAUAUACAUAGCAUUUACAUUGUGUUAGGUAUUAUAAGUAAUCUAGAGAUGAUUUAAAGUAUAUGGGAGGAUGUGCACAGGUUAUAUGCAAAUACCACGCCUUUUUAUAUAAGGGACUUGAGCAUCUGUGGAUUUUGGUAUCCUGGGGGGUCCUAGAACCAAUCCCCUGCAGAUAUCGAGGGAUGAUGUUAUUACCCUGGCUGCUACAUGGAUCACAGCGGGUCAGGAAGAGAUAUUAGGAGACCAUUUAGGAAGCAGUUGCAGUGGAGCAAACAAUGAAGGUGGCUUGGAUUAGAAUGGCUGCAGAGUGAAUGGUGAGAAGAGGAUGAUUUCAAGAAAUAAGUAGGCUAUAGAACCAGCAAGACCUCGUGCUUGAUUGGAUUUGUGGGGUGAGGGAGGAAUCGGGGUUAUCUUAGGAUGUGUUGAUUUUGAGGUACCAUUGAGACAUCCAAGAGGAGAUGUGGGGUAACCAGUUGGAUGUGUAUGUUUGGAGCUUUGAAAAUAUAUUUGGGCUGCAGAUUUAAAUUUGGGAGUUAUUGUGCAUAGGUGGUAAUUAAAGCCACAAGGGUGGAGAAAAUCACUGAGUGCAGGGCACACACUGUGGCCCUGGGCCAACCAUCUGUUUUGUACAGGCCACCAGCUAAGAAUCAUUUUUACAUGUUUAAAUGAUUGGGGAAAAAUUCAAAAGAAGAAUAUUAUUUCCUGACGUGAAGAUUAUGUGAAAUUCAAAUUUUAUGUCUAUAAAUAAAGUUUUAUUGAAACAUGGCCACACUCUCUCAUUUGGUACCUUUCAGGCUAUGAUGGCAGAAUUUAGUUAUUGUGAUGAAGACACAGAGACUGUGUGGUCAGCAAAGCCUAAAAUAUUUACUCUAUGGUCCUUUACAGAAAGUUUGCUGACCUCUGACUUGGACAAAGACUAUAGAAUUAGAAGUAAAGAGGGCCUCAGGCCACCUUGUGUUAAACGUUCAAAUCAGUGGUUUAUUAAAAGACAAUGAACUGACAAAGGAAACUAAGAAGUUGCCAGAGAGGACAGCCAGAGAGUGUGGUAGCACUUGGCUGGAGGGUGACCACUUGAUUUAUCAUUAAUGUCCUUAGGAAAUCAGUUUGAAAGAAAAAGUGAAGGGAGGAUUAGUGGCAGGAUCCAGAUGAGGUAGGUUGAGGGGAGUGGCAUGAGAGGAAUUGGAGAUGGCAACUGUUGACAGCUCUUCCAACAACUUCAGCUGGAUGGGAGAAAUGGGAUGGCUGUAUCAGGAGUGGCAAGAAGGCUUGGACAAGCUCUUAUUUAUUUUUUAUUUUCUUCAUUUUUGUUUGUCUUAAGGUGGAAGAGACUUGAGUAUAUUUAAAUGUGAAAUGAAAGAAGCCAUUAAAAUGUGCCAAUAAAGAGUGAACCCAUGAAACCUUAGACUUCUCCCACUUGGAUCCUGAUCAAGGCAGAGCCCGAGGUCCGCACUCUGUCUCUCUACCUGAGAACAUUCUGUGUGCCCUUGGGGCGUGCCAUGUACCCUCCAGAACUUGUGAGUAAUAAAUCUUGUUCCUUAAGCUUCCCUGAUGGUUUUUGCUGAAGUGUGUCCUGCAAUUAUAAUAAGAAUCACUGGGGCCAGUCCAGCCACAACAUCAGCCCCUGUGUGUGAUACAGUUGAGUGAGUGCCUUAGGCAUUGCUAGCUGAUAGUGUCACUAUCAAUAGUCUGGGACUGACACCACAAUAGCACUUACUACAAACAUGGCCCCAAAGCCUCCUGAGCAUCAUUGCUCUAGUCUGUGAAAUAUUAGAUUAUAAGUUCUUUCUUAUAUCUCACAUCAGAUUAGUAUUAUUAGCACAGAACUGAAUUUAAUGUUUUAAACAUUUAAAUAUAAUUUCAUAACUAAUAAAGAAAAACUAGAAAAGAUUCUACUUCUUCAUAGUUUAUUCACAUGUUUACUAUUGCUUUUAAGAGAAACACUCAUUCAACAGUAAACAUUUAAUUUAACUAUAUAUAAGGAAUUUAGGGCAUUGAAUAAAGUUUAGUCUCUUCUAAAAGGAUUCCCAACCUGGAUAUGGAGAGAAAUAGAUAUUAAAUAUAUAAUGUGAUAAAUCCAAUUAUAGAGGAAUAACAAAAGUGAAAUGGAAAUAGAAGGGAAGGAGUGAUUAUUCUGCCUGGGAGAGUCAGAGAAAUGAUAUCCUUAGAUAGUUCUGUUU
rnacentral:lncRNA from 1 species